rnacentral:rRNA from 1 species
UACAGAGGGUGCAAGCGUUAAUCGGAUUUACUGGGCGUAAAGCGUGCGCAGGCGGUUUUGUAAGACAGAUGUGAAAUCCCCGGGCUCAACCUGGGAACUGCCUUUGUGACUGCAAGGCUAGAGUACGGCAGAGGGGGGUGGAAUUCCGCGUGUAGCAGUGAAAUGCGUAGAUAUGCGGAGGAACACCGAUGGCGAAGGCAACCCCCUGGGCCUGUACUGACGCUCAUGCACGAAAGCGUGGGGAGCAAACAGG